rnacentral:rRNA from 1 species
CACCGCGGUUAUACGAGAGGCUCAAGCUGACAGACUCCGGCGUAAAGGGUGGCUAACAGUAAAUGAACAACAAACUAAGGCAGAACACCCUCAUGGCAGUUAUACGCACCCGAGGGCAGGAACAACCCAUUCGAAAGCGGCCUUAAUAACGUGAACCCACUAAAGCUAGGGAA